rnacentral:rRNA from 1 species
UACCGAACCGAAAGGGGAAGGGACCCUUCGGGAGCCAACACAGGUGCUGCAUGGCUGUCGUCAGCUCGUGCCGUGAGGUGUCGGGUUAAGUCCCGUAACGAGCGCAACCCUUGCUCUUAGUUAUACGUGUCUAAGGGGACUGCCGGCGACAAGCCGGAGGAAGGUGGGGAUGACGUCAAGUCAGCAUGGCCUUGAUAUCCAGGGCUACACACACGCUACAAUGGCCGGUACAAAGGGCAGCCAAGCCGCGAGGUGGAGCGAAUCCCAGCAAAGCCGGUCCCAGUUCGGAUUGCAGGCUGCAACCCGCCUGCAUGAAGUUGGAGUUGCUAGUAACCGCGCGUCAGCCAUAGUGCGGUGAAUACGUACCCGGGUCUUGUACACACCGCCCGUCACGUCAUGGGAGUUGGCAACGCCUGACAGCGGUAGCCUAACCGAAAGGAAGGCGCCGACUAAGGCGGGGCUAGCGACUGGGACGAAGUCGUAACAAGGUAACCAAGGGCGAA